CGCUGGCGGCGUGCCUAACACAUGCAAGUCGAGUGGUAACAGGUGUAGCAAUACAUGCUGACGAGCGGCGGACGGGUGAGUAACGCUUGGGAAUCUGCCUGUUAGUGGGGGACAACCCGGGGAAACUCGGGCUAAUACCGCAUACGCACUACGGUGGAAAGCCGGGGACCGCAAGGCCUGGCGCUAACAGAUGAGCCCAAGUCGGAUUAGCUAGUUGGUAGGGUAACGGCCUACCAAGGCGACGAUCCGUAACUGGUCUGAGAGGACGACCAGUCACACCGGAACUGAGACACGGUCCGGACUCCUACGGGAGGCAGCAGUGGGGAAUAUUGGACAAUGGGCGAAAGCCUGAUCCAGCGACGCCGCGUGGGUGAAGAAGGCCUGCGGGUUGUAAAGCCCUUUCGGUGGGGAAGAAAAGCCUCGAGCUAAUACCUCGGGGUCUUGACGUAACCCAUAGAAGAAGCACCGGCUAACUCUGUGUCAGCAGCCGCGGUAAUACAGAGGGUGCGAGCGUUAAUCGGAAUUACUGGGCGUAAAGCGCGCGUAGGCGGCUUUGCAAGUCGGGUGUGAAAUCCCCAGGCUUAACCUGGGAACAGCAUUCGAGACUGCAUUGCUAGAGUAUGGGAGAGGGAAGUGGAAUUUCCGGUGUAGCGGUGAAAUGCGUAGAUAUCGGAAGGAACAUCAGUGGCGAAAGCGACUUCCUGGACCAAUACUGACGCUCAUGUGCGAAAGCGUGGGGAGCAAACAGGAUUAGAUACCCUGGUAGUCCACGCCAUAAACGAUGAGAACUGGAUGUCGGGAGGGUCUGCCUCUCGGUGUCGUAGCUAACGCGUUAAGUUCUCCGCCUGGGGAGUACGGCCGCAAGGUUGAAACUCAAAUGAAUUGACGGGG
rnacentral:rRNA from 1 species